rnacentral:rRNA from 1 species
UGAGGAAUAUUGGACAAUGGUCGCAAGACUGAUCCAGCCAUGCCGCGUGCAGGAAGACUGCCCUAUGGGUUGUAAACUGCUUUUAUAUGGGAAGAAUAAGGAGUACGUGUACUCUGAUGACGGUACCAUAAGAAUAAGCACCGGCUAACUCCGUGCCAGCAGCCGCGGUAAUACGGAGGGUGCAAGCGUUAUCCGGAAUCAUUGGGUUUAAAGGGUCCGUAGGCGGAUUUAUAAGUCAGNGGUGAAAGUCUGUGGCUUAACCAUAGAAUUGCCNUUGAUACUGUAGGUCUUGAAUCGUUGUGAAGUGGUUAGAAUAUGUAGUGUAGCGGUGAAAUGCUUAGAGAUUACAUAGAAUACCGAUUGCGAAGGCAGAUCACUA